rnacentral:rRNA from 1 species
UAGGGAAUUGUUCGCAAUGGGCGCAAGCCUGACGACGCAACGCCGCGUGGAGGAUGAAGGGCUUCGGCUCGUAAACUCCUUUCGACCGAGAUGAAUACCCGCAGAUUUAAUACAUUUGCGGACUGACAGUAUCGAGGGAAGAAGCUGCGGCUAACUACGUGCCAGCAGCCGCGGUAAUACGUAGGCAGCGAGCGUUGUUCGGAGUUACUGGGCGUAAAGCGUGCGUAGGCGGUUUUCCAAGUUUGGUGUGAAAUCUCCCGGCUUAACCGGGAGGGUGCGCCGAAAACUGGGAGGCUGGAGUGUGGGAGAGGUAGGCGGAAUUCCUGGUGUAGCGGUGAAAUGCGUAGAUAUCAGGAGGAACACCUGUGGUGUAGACGGCUUACUGGACCAUCACUGACGCUGAGGCACGAAAGCGUGGGGAGCAAA